CCUACGGUGCGCAGCAGUGGGGAAUAUUGGGCAAUGGGCGCAAGCCUGACCCAGCAACGCCGCGUGAAGGAAGAAGGCUUUCGGGUUGUACACUUCUUUUAAGAGGGAAGAGCAGAAGACGGUACCUCUUGAAUAAGCCUCGGCUAACUACGUGCCAGCAGCAGCGGUAAUACGUAGGAGGCAAGCGUUAUCCGGAAUGACUGGGAGUAAAGGGUGCGGAGGUGGUUUGACAAGUUGGUAGCGUAACUCCGGGGCUCAACCUCGGCACUACUACCAAAACUGUUGGACUUGAGUGCAGGAGGGGCAAAUGGAAGUCCUAGUGUAGCGGUGGAAUGCGUAGAUAUUAGGAGGAACACCAGUGGCGAAGGCGAUUUGCUGGACUGUAACUGACACUGAGGCACGAAAGCGUGGGGAGCAAACAGGAUUAGAUACCCGGGUAGUC
rnacentral:rRNA from 1 species